CCCUAAUUCAUAAACUGUUGUGACCUCAACUCCAAAAAUCAAUCCCAACCUUCCUUUUGUGGUCAUAAACCUUGUGUUUAAAUUUCAUUGAUUUCUAUUUACUUAUACUAAAGUUAUUGUGCGAAAACCAAGAAUAAUGCUUAUUUGGGCCCUUUUUUUGGCCCCUAAUUCCUAAACUGUUGGAACCAAAACCCCCAAAAUCAAUCCCAACCUUCCUUUUGUGGUCAUAAACCUUGUGUUUAAAUUUCAUUGAUUUCUAUUCACCUAAACUAAAGUUAUAGUGCGAAAACCAAGAAAAUGCUUAUUUGGGCCCUUUUUGGCCCCUAAUUCCUAAAAUGUUGGGACCAAAACUCCCAAAAUCAAUCCCAACCUUCCUUUUGUGGUCAUAAACCUUGUGUUAAAAUUUCAUAGAUUUCUAUUCACUUUUACUAAAGUUAGAGUGCGAAAACUAAAAGUAUUCGGACGACGACGACGACGCAGACGACGACGCCAACGAGAUAGCAAUAUACGACGAAAAAUUUUUCAAAUUUUGCGGUCGUAUAAAAA
rnacentral:lncRNA from 1 species